AGACAAGCAAGGAGAGGGCACGGAUUGCUCCGUCGGCCCCGGCGUCUCCUCCGUCGGCCCCGGCGUCUCCUCCGUCGGCCCCGGCGUCUCCUCCGUCGGCCCCGGCGUCUCCUCCGUCGGCCCCGGCGUCUCCAGCGCCCUUCGGAUUUGACCAUUUGCGAUGUCCUCUAACAACGCUAACGCAGCCAUUUUUAAAACAAUUUUCCUCAUCCAUUGCGCAUGCUUUUAUAGCCACCCAUAUAAUUGCAAGAUUGUGCUGCGUGCUGCUACACCUGUGUGGC
ensembl:lncRNA